rnacentral:rRNA from 1 species
GGGGAAUUUUGGACAAUGGGCGAAAGCCUGAUCCAGCAAUGCCGCGUGCAGGAUGAAGGCCUUCGGGUUGUAAACUGCUUUUGUACGGAACGAAAAAGCUUCUCCUAAUACCCGGUUGGGAUGACGGUACCCAAAGAAUAAGCCCCGCCGAACUUCGUGCCAGCAGCCGCGGUAAUACGAAGGGUGCAAGCGUUACUCGGAAUUACUGGGCGUAAAGCGUGCGUAGGUGGUCGUUUAAGUCCGUUGUGAAAGCCCUGGGCUCAACCUGGGAACCGCAGUGGAUACUGGACGACUAGAGUGUGGUAGAGGGUAGCGGAAUUCCUGGUGUAGCAGUGAAAUGCGUAGAGAUCAGGAGGAACAUCCAUGGCGAAGGCAGCUACCUGGACCAACACUGACACUGAGGCACGAAAGCGUGGGGAGCAAACA